rnacentral:rRNA from 1 species
AUUGAACGCUGGCGGCAUGCCUUACACAUGCAAGUCGAACGGCAGCACGGGUGCUUGCACCUGGUGGCGAGUGGCGAACGGGUGAGUAAUACAUCGGAACAUGUCCUGUAGUGGGGGAUAGCCCGGCGAAAGCCGGAUUAAUACCGCAUACGAUCUACGGAUGAAAGCGGGGGACCUUCGGGCCUCGCGCUAUAGGGUUGGCCGAUGGCUGAGUAGCUAGUUGGUGGGGUAAAGGCCUACCAAGGCGACGAUCAGUAGCUGGUCUGAGAGGACGACCAGCCACACUGGGACUGAGACACGGCCCAGACUCCUACGGGAGGCAGCAGUGGGGAAUUUUGGACAAUGGGCGAAAGCCUGAUCCAGCAAUGCCGCGUGUGUGAAGAAGGCCUUCGGGUUGUAAAGCACUUUUGUCCGGAAAGAAAUCCUUGGCCCUAAUACGGUCGGGGGAUGACGGUACCGGAAGAAUAAGCACCGGCUAACUACGUG